CCUACGGGUGGCAGCAGUGGGGAAUAUUGCGCAAUGGGCGAAAGCCUGACGCAGCGACGCCGCGUGAGGGAUGAAGGUUUUCGGAUUGUAAACCCCUUUUGUUAGAGAAGAUAAUGACGGUAUCUAACGAAUAAGCACCGGCUAACUCCGUGCCAGCAGCCGCGGUAAUACGGAGGGUGCAAGCGUUAAUCGGAAUCACUGGGCGUAAAGAGGGCGUAGGCGGGAUAGCAAGUCAGAUGUGAAAGCCUAGGGCUUAACCCUAGAACUGCAUUUGAAACUGUUAGUCUGGAGUGUGGGAGAGGUAGGCGGAAUUCUUGGUGUAGCGGUGAAAUGCGUAGAGAUCAAGAGGAAUACUCAUUGCGAAGGCGGCCUGCUGGAACAUAACUGACGCUGAGGCGCGAAAGCGUGGGGAGCAAACAGGAUUAGAUACCCCUGUAGUC
rnacentral:rRNA from 1 species